rnacentral:misc_RNA from 1 species
UGGUUCUGGCAUCGAUGAAGAACGCAGCGAAAUGCGAUAAGUAAUGUGAAUUGCAGAAUUCAGUGAAUCAUCGAAUCUUUGAACGCACAUUGCGCCCUCUGGUAUUCCGGAGGGCAUGCCUGUUCGAGCGUCAUUUCAACCCUCAAGCCUGGCUUGGUGAUGGGGCACUGCCUGUAAAAAGGCAGGCCCUGAAAUCUAGUGGCGAGCUCGCCAGGACCCCGAGCGUAGUAGUUAUAUCUCGCUCUGGAAGGCCCUGGCGGUGCCCUGCCGUUAAACCCCCAACUUCUGAAAAUUUGACCUCGGAUCAGGUAGGAAUACCCGCUGA